rnacentral:rRNA from 1 species
UGGGGAAUAUUGCACAAUGGGCGAAAGCCUGAUGCAGCAACGCCGCGUGAGUGAUGAAGGCCUUCGGGUUGUAAAGCUCUGUCUUCUGGGACGAUAAUGACGGUACCAGAGGAGGAAGCCACGGCUAACUACGUGCCAGCAGCCGCGGUAAUACGUAGGCAGCAAGCGUUGUUCGGAGUUACUGGGCGUAAAGAGUGCGUAGGCGGUUUUCUAAGUUCGGUGUGAAAUCUCCCGGCUUAACUGGGAGGGUGCGCCGAAGACUGGGAAGCUGGAGUGUGGGAAAGGCAGGCGGAAUUCCUGGUGUAGCGGUGAAAUGCGUAGAUAUCAGGAGGAACACCGGCGGUGUAGACGGCUUGCUAGACCAUAACUGACGCUGAGGCACGAAAGCGUGGGUAGCAAACA